GGGCGGAUGGCGGAACUGGCAGACGCGCGCGGCUUAGGACCGCGUGGAGCAAUCCUUGGAGGUUCGACUCCUCUUCCGCCCACCA
rnacentral:tRNA from 1 species